UACGGGGGGGGGCAAGCGUUGUUCGAAGAUUACUGGGCGUAAAGGGCGCGUAGGCGGUUCGCUAAGUUGAAUGUGAAAACUCUGGGCUUAACCCAGAGCCUGCAUCCAAAACUGGCGAACUGGAGUACUGGAGGGGAAAGCGGAAUUCCUGGUGUAGCGGUGAAAUGCGUAGAUAUCAGGAGGAACACCGGUGGCGAAGGCGGCUUUCUGGACAGUAACUGACGCUGAGGCGCGAAAGCAUGGGGAGCGAACAGG
rnacentral:rRNA from 1 species